rnacentral:rRNA from 1 species
ACGAACGCUGGCGGCGUGCCUAAUACAUGCAAGUCGAACGCUUCUUUUUCCAUCGGAGCUUGCUCCACCGGAAAAAGAGGAGUGGCGAACGGGUGAGUAACACGUGGGUAACCUGCCCAUCAGAAGGGGAUAACACUUGGAAACAGGUGCUAAUACCGUAUAACAAUCGAAACCGCAUGGUUUUGAUUUGAAAGGCGCUUUCGGGUGUCGCUGAUGGAUGGACCCGCGGUGCAUUAGCUAGUUGGUGAGGUAACGGCUCACCAAGGCGACGAUGCAUAGCCGACCUGAGAGGGUGAUCGGCCACAUUGGGACUGAGACACGGCCCAAACUCCUACGGGAGGCAGCAGUAGGGAAUCUUCGGCAAUGGACGAAAGUCUGACCGAGCAACGCCGCGUGAGUGAAGAAGGUUUUCGGAUCGUAAAACUCUGUUGUUAGAGAAGAACAAGGAUGAGAGUAACUGUUCAUCCCUUGACGGUAUCUAACCAGAAAGCCACGGCUAACUACGUGCCAGCAGCCGCGGUAAUACGUAGGUGGCAAGCGUUGUCCGGAUUUAUUGGGCGUAAAGCGAGCGCAGGCGGUUUCUUAAGUCUGAUGUGAAAGCCCCCGGCUCAACCGGGGAGGGUCAUUGGAAACUGGGAGACUUGAGUGCAGAAGAGGAGAGUGGAAUUCCAUGUGUAGCGGUGAAAUGCGUAGAUAUAUGGAGGAGCACCAGUGGCGAAGGCGGCUCUCUGGUCUGUAACUGACGCUGAGGCUCGAAAGCGUGGGGAGCAAACAGGAUUAGAUACCCUGGUAGUCCACGCCGUAAACGAUGAGUGCUAAGUGUUGGAGGGUUUCCGCCCUUCAGUGCUGCAGCUAACGCAUUAAGCACUCCGCCUGGGGAGUACGACCGCAAGGUUGAAACUCAAAGGAAUUGACGGGGGCCCGCACAAGCGGUGGAGCAUGUGGUUUAAUUCGAAGCAACGCGAAGAACCUUACCAGGUCUUGACAUCCUUUGACCACUCUAGAGAUAGAGCUUCCCCUUCGGGGGCAAAGUGACAGGUGGUGCAUGGUUGUCGUCAGCUCGUGUCGUGAGAUGUUGGGUUAAGUCCCGCAACGAGCGCAACCCUUAUUGUUAGUUGCCAUCAUUUAGUUGGGCACUCUAGCAAGACUGCCGGUGACAAACCGGAGGAAGGUGGGGAUGACGUCAAAUCAUCAUGCCCCUUAUGACCUGGGCUACACACGUGCUACAAUGGGAAGUACAACGAGUCGCAAAGUCGCGAGGCUAAGCUAAUCUCUUAAAGCUUCUCUCAGUUCGGAUUGUAGGCUGCAACUCGCCUACAUGAAGCCGGAAUCGCUAGUAAUCGCGGAUCAGCACGCCGCGGUGAAUACGUUCCCGGGCCUUGUACACACCGCCCGUCACACCACGAGAGUUUGUAACACCCGAAGUCGGUGAGGUAACCUUUUGGAGCCAGCCGCCUAAGGUGGGAUAGAUGAUUGGGGUG